CCGACUGCUAUUUGGGUGAGAAUAAGCCAUGCGAGUUGAAUGGGAUACCUAAAGUUCCCAUAGCAAACUGCUCAGUAACACAUGAUCAACUUACCCUAUAGAGAAAAAUAACCUCGGGAAACUGAGGAUAAUGUUUCAUAAUUGAAUUGGCUUGGAAAAGUUUUUCAAUGAAAGGGAUAAAAAAAAUGGUUUUUAUCUGCUAUAGGAUAGGAUCGUGUUCGAUUAUGGUUGUUGGUGAGAUAAUGGCUCACCAAGCCGAUAAUCGAUAGGGGCCGUGAGAGCGGGAGCCCCGAGAUGGGUACUGAGACAACGACCCAGGCCUUACGAGGCGCAGCAGGCGCGGAACCUCCGCAAUACACGAAAGUGUGGCGGGGUUACCCAAAGUGUUCAAUAGAACUGUGGUAGGUGAGUAAUGUCCCCUACUAGAAAGGAGAGGGCAAGGCUGGUGCCAGCCGCCGCGGUAAAACCAGCUCUUCAAGUGGUCGGGAUAAUUAUUGGGCUUAAAGUGUCCGUAGCCGGUUUAGUAAGUUCCUGGUAAAAUCGGGUAGCUUAACUAUCUGCAUGCUAGGAAUACUGCUAUACUAGAGGGCGGGAGAGGUCUGAGGUACUACAGGGGUAGGGGUGAAAUCUUAUAAUCCUUGUAGGACCACCAGUGGCGAAGGCGUCAGACUGGAACGCGCCUGACGGUGAGGGACGAAAGCCAGGGGAGCAAACCGGAUUAGAUACCCGGGUAGUCCUGGCCGUAAACGAUGCAUACUAGGUGAUGGUACGGCCAUGAGCCGUAUCAGUGCCCGUAGGGAAACCGUUAAGUGUGCCGCCUGGGAA
rnacentral:rRNA from 1 species